rnacentral:rRNA from 1 species
GUUGUUAGUGGCAGACGGGUGAGUAAUGCGUAGGAAUCUACCUAGUAGUAUGGAAUAGCCAUUAGAAAUGAUGGGUAAUACUGUAUAAUCCCUGCGGGGGAAAGAUUUAUCGCUAUUAGAUGAGCCUACGUUAGAUUAGCUAGUUGGUAAGGUAAUGGCUUACCAAGGCUAUGAUCUAUAGCUGGUCUGAGAGGACGAUCAGCCACACUGGAACUGAGAUACGGUCCAGACUCCUACGGGAGGCAGCAGUGGGGAAUAUUGGACAAUGGGCGAAAGCCUGAUCCAGCUAUGCCGCGUGAGUGAAGAAGGCCUUCGGGUUGUAAAGCUCUUUCAAUAGGGAAGAUAAUGACGGUACCUAUAGAAAAAGUCCCGGCAAA